CACAGAAGGGUCCAGUGUUAAAAAAUAUCAAAAAUAGUUUGCCACAAAAUUAUUCCAAGUUAUGUAUUUUUCCAGACAGGAAAAUGUGUUUA